rnacentral:lncRNA from 1 species
GCAUGCUAAGCACUCCAUGUACCCGUUCAGGCAGCUCUAUCGGGUAGCUGCUGAGAGAUUGGUCACCGCUCAUCCACACUUUGCAGAUAGGGUCGGUUGCAGCCUGGAAUCAUGGGUGAUGGCCCUGAGGAACAAGUUCCAACAACACAGGAAAAAAGCUACAAAACUGCUCGGAGGAAAUGCUAAUUCGAAAGAAAUGCUGUCUGCCAAAGCAAAUGCAGGCACCAUCUGAAGAAGUGGCAAACAACAAAUUGUGCCGUCUUUUUGACUGCAGCCAUCUUACUACAUAUGGAGAAACCGUUGAGUCCUUGCGAAUUCAUAACGAAAGGCUCCAGAAUAAUGCAGCCUGCCACGAUGAAGCAACAGGAAGGCCAAGGUUGUGGGCAACAGCACUGGACAGGCAUAAAGAGCUUCGCAGCCUCACCCUGUCGGAUGCUCUUUUACUGUUUCCAUUUCUUGGAACUGAGGCAUUGGAACAAGCCCUGCUCACACCUUGCCUUGUGGAGAAAGAAGGACUUACUCUACACAUUGACGGGGAGCCCGUUUUGAGUGUGCCAUCACUUCUUGCAGGAAUGGCGUGCCUGUUUGCAUCGUUUUGGGUAUUCCAUGUGGAAUACCCAAAAAAAGGCACACAAAAUGCUCGCAUUCCUUGAGCACGCGUUCCUACACCUUUCACACAUGAAGCAGAGUGUCAAAGCUCUGGAACUUAUAAAUUUUUUUUUAAUGAGUAACAUUAAUUUAGUUUCACAAUUGUAGUUUUGUAGUUUUCUUCAAGUACGUUGUGCAAGCUGGCAUUUUGGACUUCUGUGCCUUGAGAAGAGGUGAAAAAAAAGUAUGACAGACAAAUGUUAAUAUUGCAUUUUUUUGUGCAAGGUUCUUUUUUUUCUUAAACCUUGGCCAUGUGUCACAUGUGGAAUACGGCGUGCACUUGUACAACCAAUGUGUACAUUUUUUUAUUGCAAACAAGUUCUGUGGUAUCCCGCAAGGUGGAGGAAAGAUUAAGAAAGGGAAAAUAGACAACCACCUGUUUGUAGCAUGAAGCCACAAGAAAAUUCAUGCAGCGUUCUUAGGGAAAAAGAGCUUCUUCGUUGCUGAAAAAUGCGUCCUAGUUCGGGGUCCCGGACCAGGACGAAUUUUUCGGCAACGAGGAAGCUUUUCUUUCGGCUAAAUCCAUAUGGAUUGCCUUGUGGCUUCGUGCUAUGAACGGGUGGUUAUCUGUUUUCUCUUUCUUAACCUUUCCUCCACUUUGCGGGAUUCCACAGAACUCAUAGCUUUUUAGUUGCUGAAAAAUUUUUCCUGGUCCGGGGUCUGGGACCCCAGAAAAGAACGAAUUUUUCGGCAACUAAAAAGCUUUUCUUUCUGAGAAAUCCAUAUGGAUUUCCUUGUCGCUUCAGGCUACAAAUGGGUGGUUGUCUAUUUUCCCUUUCUUAAAAUUUUUUUUAUUAUUAAACCAUGCCUGGCAGCAUUUAUAAAAAUAAUUUUCAUUUUGUGAUGUCAACAAUGUGCCCAUGGCCUCGCAGGUUGGCUACUUGCUCUAAAAUGUUUUAUCCACCAUUGCAAUUUUUAGAUGGGCCACCCAGGUCUUGAGUAUUCAGUGAGAAAGCCACUUUUGAAUGUUGUGACAUCAUGAGUGAUAAAAUGGUGACUACAGGUAUCUUAUUUGCAUUUGUAUUAUUUGUGUAUGGUAUAUGUGGUAGCCAUAUAUUAUAGGUUAUAUUUAAGGUAUCCAUGUUUACAAGUUUGUCAGUCUUUUUGUCAUGAAACAAAUGUGAUCAGUUGACCUGUCUCAAUAUAUUUUUAAGGUAUCCACGAUUUAUUUCACUGUGCUAAGUUAUGGUGAACAGAAUAAUUGCAGCCGUGAAAAUUGCUGUUAAAUUUAGUUGGCAGCACAGAUCUCUAGUCAUGUGUGAAAGUGCUUUACACAUAGUACUGCGCAAUUAGCUGUUUCAGUUUAUAGAAAUGUCAUGAAUGUGUGAUAUCGAUAUCUGAUAGGGCCACCUUCUUUUACAUUUAUAUAGGCUUAUCAUUUACUGGCAGUUAAGGCACUGCUAUACAAUACCUGCAUUUUGUAUGUUUCAGUCCGCAGAAGUGCUCACUGCCGGAAAUUCAACACUAGACUUGUAUUAUAUAUGCUAUUGGACAUU